AUGCCUUCACUUCAGAAAGCUUUACCUCCAGAACUUGCCGACAAUGCGCUUAGAUUAUACCGCGAAUGCUUAAGGAGGGCUAAGUUCAUCGGUAGUCAGCAACAUAACACAGGGCUUCUUGUUUCCAUGGUGAGGCAACAGUUCAAGAAAAACAUGCAUGAAACUGAUCCAGAGAAGAUACAGAAAAUGAAGGAUGAUGCGGCACGGGGCCUUAUCAAUCACAUAAUAUAUGAAUCCGAGAAGAUGACAGGACGUAAAUUCUCAGGUUAA
rnacentral:rRNA from 1 species